rnacentral:snRNA from 1 species
AUCGCUUCUCGGCCUUUUGGCUAAGAUCAAGUGUAGUAUCUGUUCUUAUCAGUUUAACAAAAUAAUAUUAAAUGUCAACUGUAAUUGAAAAAUAAAAUUUAAAAAAAUGUUAAAAUGCUUGUUAUUCACAAGCACUUUCA